rnacentral:rRNA from 1 species
UCGGUAGUGAAUUAGCGGCGAACGGGUGAGGAACACGUGAGGAAUCUGCCUUCAACACUGGGAUAACUCCGGGAAACCGGGGCUAAUACCGGAUAUGAGCUCUGAUCGCAUGGUCGGGGCUGUAAAGUUUUUCGGUUGAAGAUGACCUCGCGGCCUAUCAGCUUGUUGGUGAGGUAAUGGCUCACCAAGGCGACGACGGGUAGCCGGCCUGAGAGGGCGACCGGCCACACUGGGACUGAGACACGGCCCAGACUCCUACGGGAGGCAGCAGUGGGGAAUAUUGGGCAAUGGAGGAAACUCUGACCCAGCGACGCCGCGUGCGGGAUGAAGGCCUUCGGGUUGUAAACCGCUUUCAGUAGGGAAGAAGCGAAAGUGACGGUACCUACAGAAGAAGCACCGGCUAACUAUGUGCCAGCAGCCGCGGUAAUACAUAGGGUGCAAGCGUUGUCCGGAAUUAUUGGGCGUAAAGAGCUCGUAGGUGGUUUGAUACGUCGGGUGUGAAAUUCAGGGGCUCAACCCCUGACCUGCAUUCGAUACGGUCAAGCUAGAGUUUGGUAGGGGAGACUGGAAUUCCUGGUGUAGCGGUGGAAUGCGCAGAUAUCAGGAGGAACACCGAUGGCGAAGGCAGGUCUCUGGGCCAAUACUGACACUGAGGAGCGAAAGCGUGGGGAGCGAACAGGAUUAGAUACCCUGGUAGUCCACGCCGUAAACGGUGGGCGCUAGUUGUGCGAACCUUCCACGGUUUGUGCGACGCAGCUAACGCAUUAAGCGCCCCGCCUGGGGAGUACGAUCGCAAGAUUAAAACUCAAAGGAAUUGACGGGGCCC